AGAGUUUGAUCCUGGCUCAGGAUGAACGCCGGCGGCGUGCCUAACACAUGCAAGUCGAGCGAGAUUUAGUGUAGUGGAGACUUCGGUCAAAGUGAAACUGAUGUAAGCGGCGGACGGGUGAGUAACGCGUGGGCAACCUGCCCCAUACAAAGGGAUAGCCACUGGAAACGGUGAUUAAUACCUUAUAAGUCGGUAGUCUCGCAUGAGACAGCCGACAAAGAUUUAUCGGUAUGGGAUGGGCCCGCGUUUGAUUAGCUAGUUGGUGAGGUAACGGCUCACCAAGGCGACGAUCAAUAGCCGACCUGAGAGGGUGAUCGGCCACACUGGAACUGAGACACGGUCCAGACUCCUACGGGAGGCAGCAGUGGGGAAUAUUGCACAAUGGGCGCAAGCCUGAUGCAGCAACGCCGCGUGAGUGAUGAAGGCCUUCGGGUCGUAAAACUCUGUCCUAUGGGAAGAAAAAAAUGACGGUACCAUAGGAGGAAGCCCCGGCUAACUACGUGCCAGCAGCCGCGGUAAUACGUAGGGUGCAAGCGUUAAUCGGAAUUACUGGGCGUAAAGCGUGCGCAGGCGGUGAUGUAAGACAGACGUGAAAUCCCCUGGCUCAACCUGUGAAUUGCGAUUGUGACUGCAUCGCUGGAGUGCGGCAGAGGGGGAUGGAAUUCCGCGUGUAGCAUUGAAAUGCGUAGAUAUGCGAGAGGAACACCGAUGGCGAAGGCACUCGCCUGACUCUGCACUGACGCUCAUGCACGAAAGCGUGGAAGCAAACAGGAUUAGUUACCUUGGUAGUCC
rnacentral:rRNA from 1 species